UGUAUUUGUGCUGUUGCCCUGCAGCAGCCAGGGAGGAGCCCCAGGAGAAGGCCCAAGCUGCCUCAGCAAGCCCAGCAUAGGCAAGUCCCUCAGCCGACCUGCAGGCUUUUGAGUACUUCCAUGCUUUACUCAUUUAUAUACACUCAGAUAGUCUUCCAGUUGCACACUCAGCUUUGCAGAGUAGAGAUGCCAGCUCUACCAAACCUGGAACCCGGAUGUGUUUCCAAAUCAUACAGGUACUGUAAUGAGAAGCUUAUCUUCCUGGAUUGGAAUAUAAGCUGGAUUGGAAUAUCCGGUAUGGCUUUCAGAUUCAAAUCCAAAUGUGGUUCCUCGAACCUCUUCCUCAGUGUGCGACCGCAGGUGCGUCUUCAGAUUCUCCAGGCGAGAGUAGGCCUUCAAGCAGCCCUCAAACUGGGAAGAAGUGGGUUUGGUCAGUGAGACACCCCAGAUCCACACAGGAAGCCUGACCUGCGCCUCAGCCUCCUCCCAAGUCCCUUCACUGCUCCACUCUGCUGGUGCAACCAAGAGGUCUUCCUACUGGAUGGUGCUGCUGUAGGUGUUUGCAUGCUACAAGGCUGGCCAAGAGCUGCACAUCUAGGCACUACAGCAGCUCACCAGAGAGGCAGAAAACCACGAGGCCCUCAUGACCUAAGGAACAGGCCCAACCGUCAUGCACAUAAAUGCCAAUGUUGGAGCAAGUAAAAUCUAUAGCACUUGGAACUUCAAGGGAAAUCUUUUCAUAUUAGCUUUAGUUUCCAUUUUUAAAGCCUUUCAAAUGAUAAAAAUGCUUCUUGACAAUGCCUUUCAUUUUUUUCUUAUUGGUUUACU